rnacentral:rRNA from 1 species
AUUGAACGCUGGCGGCAGGCCUAACACAUGCAAGUCGAACGGUAACAGGAAGCAGCUUGCUGCUUUGCUGACGAGUGGCGGACGGGUGAGUAAUGUCUGGGAAACUGCCUGAUGGAGGGGGAUAACUACUGGAAACGGUAGCUAAUACCGCAUAACAUCGCAAGACCAAAGAGGAGGACCUUCGGGCCUCUUGCCAUCGGAUGUGCCCAGAUGGGAUUAGCUAGUAGGUGGGGUAACGGCUCACCUAGGCGACGAUCCCUAGCUGGUCUGAGAGGAUGACCAGCCACACUGGAACUGAGACACGGUCCAGACUCCUACGGGAGGCAGCAGUGGGGAAUAUUGCACAAUGGGCGCAAGCCUGAUGCAGCCAUGCCGCGUGUAUGAAGAAGGCCUUCGGGUUGUAAAGUACUUUCAGCGGGGAGGAAGGGAGUAAAGUUAAUACCUUUGCUCAUUGACGGUACCCGCAGAAGAAGCACCGGCUAACUCCGUG